rnacentral:lncRNA from 1 species
CCUUUUGAUCACAGCCGUUCAUUUCGUUUUAAUCUGGGCCGUUCGUUUUUGAUUGAAUCUGGGCCGUCCGUGCGUUUGAAUCUGGACCGUCCGAUCGCGCGAUUGAUCUGGGCCGUCGGAUCGCACCCACGCGGAUCGCCAACGUGGCUCCUUUUGGAGUGACGCGAUCUUGCCACGUGGCAGGCCCCGGUUGGCCGGGACUGCUGACCGGGCCUGCUGACGUGGCUGCUGACGUGGC